UGAUUUUAGUUAUCUUGUGAACGUACUACGAACAAACAAAAAAAUAUUAUAGUCAAAAAAAAUUAAAUCA
rnacentral:misc_RNA from 1 species